rnacentral:rRNA from 1 species
UACGUAGGUGGCAAGCGUUGUCCGGAUUUACUGGGCGUAAAGGGCUCGUAGGCGGCCAACUAAGUCGGAUGUGAAAUCCCCAGGCUCAACUUGGGAACUGCAUCCGAUACUGGAUGGCUUGAAUUCGGGAGAGGGAUGCAGAAUUCCAGGUGUAGCAGUGAAAUGCGUAGAUAUGCGGAGGAACACCGAUGGCGAAGGCAAUCCCCUGGGCCUGCACUGACGCUCAUGCACGAAAGCGUGGGGAGCAAACAGG